GGUAUUUUCUUUAAGUGAGCAGUAGAAUUCCCAAUCUUGAUCCUUAAUUUUUGAUCCGAUAGAGAACCCUUCCUUUUCAAAAAAUCUGAAAUCUAUGUUUUUGCCGGGCUCUACCUUCCUAUCGGAGAGGGGUAUCUUACUGGGGCUUAUUGGAAACCGAGAUGUAGCUGGAGCAGAUGCCGGAGCAGGGAUUGAAGCUGACGAG
rnacentral:lncRNA from 1 species